UACAUUUUUAAUUUUUAAUUUAAACAUUACAUAUAAAGUUUGGAAUUCAAAUAUUUACUUUUAAUAUUUAUCAGUGUAAGGAGUGUUUGAAUGAAUGUAGCACUUUUGGGACUUAAAACAAUCGGUAUUUUCUCGCGAUUUUGUUGGUGUUAUUUCUUAAAACCUUUUUUAAAACUUUUAAAACUUUAGGUAGGAAUUUUAAUCUGUCACAAUGUCUUGAUCCCAAUGAUCAAUGAUCUGCAAACAUUGAAUUAAUUGGUGUCAAUUUAUAUGCAAACUAUAAAUCUUGUUAGCCAAAUUGAAUUAGGUAACAUUUUUAAUAUCGUGGUCCACCCCAGAUCGUAAAUUUCUGAAUAAGUAAAGCAGUAUUCCGUGAAUUUGUUGGUUUUAUUUCAUAAAACAUAAUCUGAAAACUUGUACCAAAUUAGGUAGGAAACUUAACCUGUCCUAUGAAUUCAUUUCCAUCAUAUAAGGAAUCCAACUAUCGAAAAAUCGAGAAGGUGUUGUUAUUUACUUAUGACUUCUUCCUCAUGCUAUAAUGUAUCAAGUUUUGUAUUAUUUAAGAGGUAUGUUAUUACAUAGAAAUCGGUUGCAAUUCGUUAUAUUAUAUUAUAUUAUAUUAUAUUAAUUUAAAUUUUUUGUGUUGUUUCAUUAAAAAUUAUAUGAAAGCUUGAGUAGGAACUUUAAACUGUCACAAUGACUUCCUCUCCAUUAUAAAAAAUGUACAACUCAUAACAAUAUAAUUGGUGUUACUCCUUAAACAAAUUAGGGAGGGUUUCUUCAUGAACUGUGCCUAUUCAAAAUCGUAACUACAAAAUAACUAAAGACAUUACUUUUUGUAAUUUUUAUAAAAAUUUAAAAGGGGUUCUUAUUUUUUACCACUGAAAGUUAAAAAACUUUCUUUCUUUUCUGAAAAAUUUCAGUAAUUUUAGGUGGGAACAACGCAAUAUCUUUUAGAAUCUUGUAGUAUAAUCUCCUCAUGAGAUAUGCACAUUCAUGAUCGUAAGCUUUUUAAUACCUUUUAAUAAAUACGGUAUUGUUAUUUUUUUUUUGUUUGCUUUCACAAAUUUCUGAAAAUUUACAAUAAAAAUAGGUAGACACUUUAAGCUGUCACACUGACUUCUUUUCCGUAUUAUAAAGUAAGCUAAUUAUACUAAUUUAAAAGACGUUGUUCAUAAAAUUUAAUUAGGUAAGCAAGAUUAUUCUGUCACAGUGUCUUCUUCCCUACGGUGUAAGGUAAAAAAACUAAAAAUGUAAAAGGUGUUGAUAUUUUAAUCGAAUGAGGGUUCAAGGCAUAUCCAUUUUAGAUCGUAAACUUCUAAAUAACUGAAGGUAGGAUUUUUAAAACGUACGGUGUUUCCUUAUGAAUUUUUUGGUAUUUUUUUUAAAAAUAUGUAAAAACUUAGGAAAGAACUUAAACUGUCCCUACGUCUUCUUCCCCAUGAUAAAAUGAAUGAAAGCUAAAAAAAUCGUAAAGGUGUUAUUUUUAAAUAAAAUUAGGUAGGAUUCAAGGUGUGUCCAUUUUAGAUCGAAAACUUCUUUUUAACUGAAGGUAUAACUUUUAAAACGAACGGUAUUCCCUUGUGAAUUUGUUGGUGUUAUUUCAUAAAACAUUAUCUAAAACUUUUAAAAAAUUAGGUAGGAAUUUUAACCUGUCGCUAUGACCUCAUUCCCAAAAUAAAAGGAAUGCAAAUUAUAAAAAUCAAAAUGGUGUUGUUAUUUAAAUCAAAUUAGGUAGGGAUUAAGGCGUGUUCCAUUCUAGAUCGUAAACUUUUAAGUAACUGAAAGUAGAACUUUUAAUACGUACGGUAUUCCCUUGUGAAUUUGUUGGUGUUAUUUUAUAAAACGCAAACGCAAACUUUAUAAAUCGAAAAGCUGUUGUUACAUGAAUCGAAUUAGGUAAGAUUGUCCAUUCUAGAUCGUAAGUCAAUAAGUAACUGAAGGUAUGACUUUUAAUACGUUCGGUAUUCCCUUAUGAAUUUGUUGGUCUUAUUUCUUGAAAUGUUUUCUUAAAACUUGUAAAAACUUAGGAAAGAACAUAAACUGUCCCUACGUCUUCUUCCCCAUGAUAAAAUGAAUGAAAGCUAUAAAAAUUGUAAAGGUAUAUCUUUUAAAUCGAAUUAGGUAGGGUUCAAAGAGUGUCCAUUCUAGAUCGUAAGCUUCUAAGUAUCUGAAGGUAUGACUUUUAAAACGUACGGUGUUUCCUUGUGAAUUUGUUGGUGUUAUUUCAUAAAACAUUAUCUGAUAACUUCUAAAAAGUUGGGUAGGAACUCUAACCAUUCCCCAUGACUUCCUCACGAAAAAGUAAAAAUAUGUUGGUGUUAUAUUAUAAAGCAGUAUCUAAAAUGUCGAAAAAAUAAGGUAGGAACUUUAGCCUGUCGCUAUGACCUCUUCCCAAAAUAAAAAAAAUGCAAAUUAUAAAAAAUAAAUGGUGUCGUAUUUAAAUCAAAUUAGGUAGGGGUUAAGGCGUGUUUCCCUUCUAGAUCGUAAACUUCUAAGUAACUGAAAGUCGGACUUUUAAUACGUACGGUAUUUCCUUGUGGAUUUUUUGGUGAUAUUUUAUAAAACGCAAACGCAAUCUAUAUAAAUCGAAAAGGUGUUGUUACAUUAGUCGAAUUAGGUAAUUGAAGGUAGAACUUUUAAGACGUACGGUAUUCCCUUGUAAAUUUGUUGGUCUUAUUUCUUGAAAUGUUUUCUUAAAACUUGUAAAAACUUAGGAAAGAACAUAAACUGUCCCUACGUCUUCUUCCCCAUGUUAAAAGAAUGAAAGCUAUAAAAAUUGUAAAGGUACAUCUUUUAAACCGAAUUAGGUAGGGUUCAAAGAGUGUCCAAUCUAGAUCGUAAACUUCUAAGUAUGUGAAGGAAUGUCUUUUAAAACAUACGGUGUUUCCUUGUGAAUUUGUUGGUGUUAUUUCAUAAAACAUUAUAUAAAACUUCUAAUAAAAAUAAAUAAAAUAAGGUAGGAACUUUAACCUUUUGUUGGGUUUAUUUUAUAAAACGCAAACGCAAACUUUAUAAAUCGAAAAGCUGUUGUUACAUGAAUCGAAUUAGGUAAGAUUGUCCAUUCUAGAUCGUAAGUCAAUAAGUAACUGAAGGUAUGACUUUUAAUACGUUCGGUAUUCCCUUGUAAAUUUGUUGGUCUUAUUUCUUGAAAUGUUUUCUUAAAACUUGUAAAAACUUAGGAAAGAACAUAAACUGUCCCUACGUCUUCUUCCCCAUGUUAAAAGAAUGAAAGCUAUAAAAAUUGUAAAGGUACAUCUUUUAAACCGAAUUAGGUAGGGUUCAAAGAGUGUCCAAUCUAGAUCGUAAACUUCUAAGUAUCUGAAGGAAUGUCUUUUAAAACAUACGGUGUUUCCUUGUGAAUUUGUUGGUGUUAUUUCAUAAAACAUUAUCUGAUAACUUCUAAAAAGUUGGGUAGGAACUCUAACCAUUCCCCAUGACUUCCUCACGAAAAAGUAAAAAUAUGUUGGUGUUAUAUUAUAAAGCAGUAUCUAAAAUGUCGAAAAAAUAAGGUAGGAACUUAACCUGUCGCUAUGACCUCUUCCCGAAAUAAAAGGAAUGCAAACUAUAAAAAUCAAAUUGGUGUCGUAUUUCAAUCAAAUUAAGUAGGGGUUAAGACGUGUUUCCCUUCUAGAUCGUACACUUCUAAGUAACUGAAAGUAGGACUUUUAAUACAUACGGUAUUCCCUUGUGAAUUUGUCGGAUAUAUUUUAUAAAACGCAAACGCAAACAAUAAAAAUCGAAGUGGUGUUGUUAUUUAAAUCAACGUAGGUAAGGUUUAGGAUGUGUCCAUUCUAGAUCGUAAUCCACUAAUUAUUUUAAUACGUACGGUAUUCCCUUGUGAAUUUUUUGGUGAUAUUUUAUAAAACGCAAACGCAAACUAUAUAAAUCGAAAGGGUGUUGUUAAAUUUAUCGAGUUAGGUAAGGCGUGUCCAUUCUAGAUCGUAAACCACUUAGUAACUGAAGGUAGGACUUUUAAUACGUAGGGUAUUCCCUUGUAAAUUGGUUGGUGUUAUUUCAUAAAACAUUAUCUAAAACUUCUAAAAAAUUAGGUAGGAACUUUAACCUGUCGCUAUGACCUCUUCCCAGGGUAAAAGGAAUGCAAAUUAUAAAAAUCAAAUUGGUGUCGUAUUUUAAUCAAAUAAGGUAGGGGUUAAGGCGUGUUUCCCUUCAAGAUCGUAAACUUCUAAGUAACUGAAAGUAGGACUUUUAAUACAUACGGUUUUCCCUUGUGAAUUUGUUGGUGAUAUUUUAUAAAACGCAAACGCAAACUAUAUAAGUCAAAAGUGUGAUGUUAAAUUAAUCGAAUUAGGUAGGGUUUGAGGCGUGUCCAUUCUAGAUCGUAAACCACUUAGUAACUGAAGGUAGGACUUUUAAUACGUAGGGUAUUCCCUUGUAAAUUUGUUGGUGUUAUUUCAUAAAACAUUAUCUUAAACUUCUAAAAAAUUAGGUAGGAACUUUAACCUGUCGUUAUGACCUCUUCCCAAGAUAAAAGGAAUGCACAUUAUAAAAAUCAAAAUGGUGUUGUUAUUUAAAUCAAAUUAGGUAGGAGUUAAGGCGUGUUUCCCUCCUAGAUCGUAAACUUUUGAGUAACUGAAAGUAGGACUCUUAAUACGUACGGUAUUCCCUUGUUAAUUUGUUGGUGUUAUUUUAUAAAACGCAAACUAUAAAUUGAAAAGGUGUUGUUACAUGAAUCGAAGGGUUUAAGGCGUGCCCAUUCUAUAUCAUAAGUCAAUAAGUAACUGAAGGUAGGACUUUUAAUACAUACAGUAUUCCCUUGUGAAUUUGUUGGUCUUAUUUCUUGGUACGUUUUCUAAAAACUUGUAAAAACUUAUGAAAGAACUUAAACUGUCCCUACGUCUUCUUCCCCAUGAUAAAAUGAAUGAAAGCUUUAAAAAUUGUAAAGGUAUAUCUUUUAAAUCGAAUUAGGUAGGGUUCAAAGAGUGUCCAUUCCAGAUCGUAAACUUCUAAGUAUCUGAAGGUGUUUCCUUGUAAAUUUGUUGGUGUUAUUUCAUAAAACAUUAUCUGAUAAUUUCUAAAACAUUAGGUAGGAACUCUAACCAUUCCCUAUGAUUUCCACACGAAAAUGUGUUAUUUAAAUCGAUUUUAGAUCGUAAACUUUUUAGUAACUAAAGGUAUGACUUUUAAAUCGUACGGUGUUUCCUUGUGAGUAUGUUGGUGUUAUUUCAUAAAACAUCUAAAAUUCCCAAAAAAACCUCUAACCAUUCCCUAUGACUUCCACACGAAAAAGUAUUGGUUUCCAUGAUAUAAAGUAUGCAAACUAUAAAAAUCUGAAAGGUGCGGUAUGCUUUGUAAAUGUAGUUUCCAUAAAGUUAUAAGAUUCAAUUUAAUUUAAAAACAAAUUAUCAAUAAAUAAAUGGAAUGGUUUAUCGUCAUCUUAUUAAUUGGAAAACGUGUUGUAAAUUGUCGAACUCUUCUAGUAAUACAAAACAUAUAAUAAACAAUAGACACAAUUUUACAAAAAAUGCCGCUCAAGAAAGCAUUAAAACUUACCAUGGAGUACAUAUAAGCAUCUCAAAGGAAUAGAUGACAAUUUCAAUGUAUCUGACUUAUUAUAAUACUUUGAAUUGUUCAAUACAUUUACUUAAUCUUACAAACCUAACUUUGGAAAAAUCAAAAAAACAAACUCUACAAAGAAGCCUAGUGCAUUUUUGCGUAGCCAACCGAACUUAAGAAGCCAACUGAUGCAUGAAUUUCACAUAAUUUGUAAAGAUACAAAAUAUGCACACUACAAAUUGUCUGAUCUAGGUUAAUAAUUGUCACUCAUACAAAAAGCUAAGGAUAAUUUUAUCCUUAGCUGCUUUAACCAUUGCUCAAUCAAUAUGUAAAGCUGCUUAAUGGUUAAAAGUUUAAAAACUAUAUUAAAACUAGUCGUUGCCGUAAAAACUCUCAGGAUUACAUUCCUAUUAAAUUCUUCAAAAUAAAUUCGUAAUUACAUAAAGUUCGAAUAAUCUAAACAUUAUAUAACAUCCUAUUAACAUCGGAUUAACUAAUAUGAAAAACAAUUACCAAAACCAAUACAUUUUUAAAUAUCAAGUUAGGAUUUUACUACAUUUUCUGCUGUAUUUAUUUUUCACUGCACUUUCUGGAAAGCAUUGUUUAACCAGACUUGAAUGAAAAAAACGACAUUAAAUUCAACAAAUAACUAAAAAGCAAUUUAUGUCUAUUUGAAAAGAUUGUAUGUUUUGAUAUGAUUUUGAGACUUCAAUAACCAGCUUUUCAAAACCACGCGAAAGCUAUUUAUGGAAGGACAUUCCCAAGUUUGCCUUGAACUAAAGAACUCUGUUAGGAUUUCUAAAAUAUACGCAAUACGCUUGCUCUUUUAAAAAUGAGCUGUUUUAAAAAAUAUAAUUAAAAAAAUAUUAGGAUUAUAUAUAAAAAAUAUUCACCUUAUAUAAAUGCAAUAUGUUUCUAAACAGUAUUCAAUAUUUUUAAAACUUAUCAAAAAGUUUGAGGCCAUAACAAAAAAAGGUAAAUUCUAAAAAUGAACAAAAUAUUUGAAAUUAAAGAAUAUGUAUGAAUUACAUAAAGAUUUAAAUUAAUAUAAUUGACAAUUCGACUUAAAAAUAUGGCAACCCAAUAAAAUUGUAUCAACUGUUAGUGGAAUAAAUACCGAACUAUCAAUAAACUAUGAAAUCCGAAAGGAAACCAAAAAUAUAAUUUUAAAUUGGAUACCCAUCAAUCUUUUUAAACGUCUCUCAAACGGAUAUCUUUUUUGGCGAUUUAUAUUCUUUUACUUCAUUUAUUAUACAUUUCUUAAACAUAAAACUGGAUUCUGUGCAAAAUUUGCUCAUAUAUCAAUGCUUAAUCGCCGUUGUAAAAUAGAAGGCUUUGACAAGGCUAAACAUUUUGAAAACUUCACAAACACAUGUAUUGACCUGGACACAUCUAAUAAUUAAAUUCUUCAAAAUAAAAAAGGGAUGCGAAGUCAAAAACAACAUUUACCAGGACAUAAAAUUAUCUAGUAUCAACAAUACCAGGCAUGAAUUCAUUAUAUUCAUAAAUACGUCAACUACUGGAUUUGGUCUACACUCCACGAUUUGGAAUGCCUAAGCCACGCUAAUGAUUCAUAAAACAUGGAUAAAUAUAACGUAUACAAAACAAAAUAUCAACCUUAAUAAGACAUAUAUUAUGCGUCAGCAUCACAUUACUAAAGUUUAAUAGAAACGGAUGUAAAAAGAGUAUCAACCCUAAUAACAUCAGCAUAGAAUUACUAAAGAAUAAUUAAAACAGUGACCAGUUUUGAUAUGAUUCUUAAUUCCUCGAUAACAGCUAAUUAAAGCCAAUCUGUAAGCAUCUUUAAAAAAGUGCUUUAGUUGUGCUAGCUAUUUUUCGUUCUGUUUAAAAUGCAAAUGGGAAACAUGCUUUUAAAAAAAUAUGAGGUAGAAUUAAUUUUCAAAAACUGGUGAAACAAUUUUAUUUUGAAGUUUACCUACAAAGGAAAACCUAUCAAAAAUAUAAAUGCACAAACGCCGUUAGAAACAUUUAACAUGAUCGAAAUUAAAUGUGUCUAUAGAUGUUUAUCUUCGGUUUCCGCUUACAAAAUUGAAUAUGUUUUUAAACAUAAUACUCGAAUGCUUAAAUGGUAAUCCACUUAAUCUGUUUUAUUGCAUAGCAAGCAUCGCUUACCCACAAAACUUUCCUGUUUGCACGAAAUUUUUGUAAGGUAAAAAUACUAAUCAGCGUGAAGAGCAAAAUUAGUUAUUAUAUUGAUAUUUCCAAUAAUUAUGCUUGCAUAUAAGUCUAUAACUUUAAAAGUGGUGUAAGAUUUAUUAGCAUGUUGGAAUAAAAAAAAUGAUGUAGUAAAUUGACUUUUUACUAAAAAAAACUCUUCCACAUUCAUUACCUCCUCUACCGUUGUUGUUUUUGUACACAAAUUAUAUUGAAAUACUUAAAGUUUCACAGAAAGUUUUAAAAUAAUAAAAUGAAAAGGAUAAAACUUAACGAUUGUUUACACCUGAAAUACGCUUGGAUACUCAUCUUAAAACAGAAAACCACUAAAUAUUUCUUUACUCUAAGAGUUAGAGGGUAUAUUGUAUGUAUAGUAGUAUGUUACAGGUUGAAGGAAACCUUUCCGACCUUAAAAAGUAUAUUUGAUAAAAAACUCAGUCUUUGCAAAAAGAGCUAUAAAUAUGGGAAUUAACAAGCAGAUUCAAGUUUAAUUAAAAAAUAUCGACUCACACAAACAUCUUCCAAAUCGAACUUCUAUCUUAGAAGUUAUUAGUAUAAAUAAAACAUUUUAUUAGUUGACGAUACCUAAAACCCAAUUACUUUCUGCCGGCAUAUUGACUUUGAAAUUGGUUAGCUGUCUAACGGGUUUCUAAUAUUUUCUAGUUUUAGUUAGUAAAGCCCACUAAUCAUUAAAUUAAAAAAGUUAUGCAUUCAGCAUAUACAAAAAAUUCAUUGACUUUUGCUUUCAUGUUUUAUAAAUAAAUUGUCAAUAAAAUUCACUCAAGCAAGGCAAGCCAUUUUAUCUUAUACCACUAGGCAAAGCAUUUUAGAUGAUUGUAAAUUUUAUGCAAUUGUGGCUUAAAUAUUGCUUGUUUUUGCCUAUUUCUCAUAUCAUCUAUAGUUACUUUAAAAUAACAUCAUUAUAAUGGAUGCGGGUCUUAGUAAAUGUUUUCUUAAUAUUCUACAGCACGAAUAUAUAUUUUAAAUUAAUAAUAAUAUUUAUACCUUGUUACGAUCUAAACACCUUGUUUUUUUAAUUUUUUUUGAGAAAAUCAUACGUUUUUGUAUUUUUUAUCAUCCUAACAAUCUUCCGGAAUUUGCUCUUCAUGAAUUUUAUUUUAAAGAACCGCAAACCCCUAAAAAUAUUAAAACUUCACUCCCCUUUCACAUUCUUAUCGUUCGAACGAAUUCAGCAUCAGGUUUUCGGGUGAGGUUUCUGAUGCUAUGUCUUUGUACCUUCUCCAAAAAAUGAAUCCCUACCUUGGUAUUGCAAAUACCCUAUAAAAAACCUCACCCACCAAAUGUAUGAACAAAGAGAUAUAAAUUUCAAUAAACUAACAUGACACUUGUCAUGACAAAGUCAAGACGACUCAACAACCCACCAUUGAAAGAAUGCGGCUUCAAGAAGGAUGUCCCUCGUGCCUUAAGAAGGAUGAUACCACCACAUUUACUGCGUGAACUGUCUCCAAUUAUGCAGGUUCAAACAGGACGCUUUUCAGAGUAAGCUUACAAAUUUAAGGAACAUCAGCGAUUAAAGAUGCUAACUACUACAGAUGACUCAGCAAGCUAUUGAUGUGGCAUUUGACUCCAAGACCGAACUGCAUAACCCGUUUUUAAAAAUAAUUUUAUAAAAGGCAUGGCAGUAUUUGUGACCAUUAAACUAAUGGGCAUUCCUUGUCUAUUUUCCAACACUAGAUUUAAACAGGCAAACAAUUUACCUUUAUUUUGAAAUAUGGGCCCAGUACGAUACUGUAUAUUACAAAUAAUUAACUAUAUGAAUAUAUACCUUUAUAAUUUUAAACGGGGAUUUUUUUUCUUUGUUGUUGUUUCUUAAAAAUUGUUUAUUAAAUUUAAAAUUAAUUUUGUUAUGAAAAAACAAAACUUUUUUUGGUUUGUGUAUUGUGUGUAACUAAAUUUACUUUCACAAAUGUAAAGUGUACCAGGAAAAUGUGUUAAAAAAUAAAGAUAUUUUACAAAACUGAGCAGUGUGGCAGUCUAUGCGACUUGUAAGAGUCUCCUACUAGAGGGUCGUCCAAGUAUCCAAUUGUCAGGUGGGAGUAGUCUUUUAAGAAAAAUGAGCAUG